UUGGCGGCUCUUGGCCAGCAUGGCCGGCCGUCCUCUGUCGGAUGCGGCCCGGCUACCCGUGAGGACGAUGCUUGUGGCCGUAUUGUUCCGCACGGGGGCGGGGGGAAAAACGUCGACGCGGCGGAUGAGGCGGUUGCGGUGUCUCGGGGAUGCGUGUGUGUCGCAAAUAACGUCCGAGGGAGCCGAUCUGGCUGUUCAACGGGAUCGGUUUAUUGACUUCGCGCUCCUCGGCGGAGUCACCAGACGUCACUUAACAGAAGAGGUUUAAGACAAAGCCAGAGAGCGCGUCAGUCUGGGAAUCGCGUCCCUUUGCUUAUCCCCCGUCCUCCACGGCGUUUGGCCGUUGCCCCUCGCCCCAUCGGCUGCAGGCUGUGCGUACCGCCUGGCGUCCCACAGAUCGGGGCUGUUGCGCAGAACGUUCCUUAUAAAGGCACCUCUUGGCACAAAGGCCGUCUCUGGGAGCAGGGUCCUAGGUUGAAAUGAAACCUUCUUGGAAUAAGUAAAUGCCAGGGGUUUAUUUCCUAUUAAGCUAGCAGAUUGUUCAUUUUGCCGCAUUUUGUGGUGUCCGACCACAUACGGGUGGAUACUUCUUGUCUUCCUUCCUCUUUAUAUUUCCAGUCUGGGAAACAGCAAAAAAGUUAGUGAAAAGAGUAACAUCUGUGUGAGAGAGAGAGAGAAAAGGAUGAGGCGGGCUGGCCAGGCAACAAGCCUCAGGAGAUGGUAACACAGAAGAGCUAUUCAUUCUGAAAGCCAGUUGCUCCUCGCCCUGCUAGAUUAUAAAUUGGACACCUUAUUAAGAGUUGAUCCUCCAGCAGCCCCACCCAGGGCUGUGCUCAUGCUCUAAACCAGUGGAACAUAAUCCCAUUUCACUAUUGAUGCCUGUUACUGGAUAAGCACAUGUGCAAGCAGGGCAGAGGAUACUAGGCAGAAAGGAGCAGCACCCUGGCUGUUUUCUGAAUUGUCAGUUUAAGAAAAGAAGAGAGAGUUUUGGGAGAGAAUGGGGACGAGGUUGGUUUGCACUAAAAUUUAGGCACUUUUAUGAUGAUGCUAGCUGCCUUACCAAAUAAUUAAACCAGCAUAGAUUUGUUUUUGCCUGUUUUUUUGCUUGUUUUCUCAGUUGUAACUUAAAAAUGCUGACUCACUGGCAUGGUGUGCCAACCCAAAUGUUGCUGCUAGAAUCAACCACUGGAAGAGCCUGAAGAGAUACAACCCCACUAUGGCGUAGGCUUCAAGUUGGCCUCUUCAGUGAUUCCAGGUUUCUCUUCUGAUGGUUUGCUCAGUCACUUACUUCUUGUCAGAUUAGCCCAAAGGUCUGUACAAAUUUAGGCAGAUGUCAAGUUGAACAGUUGUUGUGGUGAAAAUUUCAUGUGAACGUAAGUUUAACAAAUUCAGCAAAGUUUUAUCACCCUUGGCAAGACUUCCAAGCUUUUCAACCUUCGCGCACCUUUUAGCCCUUUGAAAAGUUGUCCGACUGGCAUUUGAAAUGCACAAAGUUAUUGCCAGUUGUUGUCGGCAAUAAAUACCUGACAUGUAUCCUUCAGGUCUUAUUUUGGUGCUGAAGCAAACAGGAUGGACUAUUAUAAACCUGUUUUAGUGUCUCUGAACAGUAUCCCUGCUCAUACACACAUUUUUUUCCUUCCAGGCAAAACCAGCUGGGGGGUUCAUGCAAUGCUGGAUGCAUCGUGAGGAUUCUGUAUCAUCAGAGCAUUUAUUCUGAAUAUUGUCUAGAUACACAGCUGGUUGGUUCCCCUAUUGAGGUUCUGAGUCCCUGACGGUCACUGGUGUCUUGGAAACCAAUGACUCCUCAGAUGUUUCUGGAUACCUUUAUGUAUCUGCCUCCAAUUACUUUAUGAGCUCAUGAAAAUGAACACAAGGCAUCUUUGACAUUCCUCUCUCUCUUUUGCUCUCCUAUUUUUUACAUAGGGUACUUUUGCCAGUAACUGUUUCCUAGUAAAACAAUGCCUCUGAAUUUGUGCUCUGUGUGUAUGUCUGUUUGUGUAUGUGAUUCCAUGUGCCCUACCUCCCCACCUCCCCCAAAGCAUGAGCCUGUUGUUCAGUUAAUUUGGCAAAAGAAUACAGAUCUGAAAGUGAAAUUCCUGUAAGGUUGAAAGAGAGAGGCAGAUGGGUACACAAGAGAGCCUGUUUGUGCUAGAAGCAUCAAGGUGCUGCCACUUCAGCUCACCUUUUAUCAGGCACCAGAGAACCUCCACUGAAGUGUACCCUUGGAAUUCAGACUUCAUCCUGUCAUGGACUACUUGUUUGUACUUGUGGUUUUUGUAUGGUUAGAAUAGAGACAGGAAUGCUGAGUUGGAAAACUGGAGUUUCUCUUUUGUUCCGCACUUUUGAAAUUUAUGGUUGUCUCCCGCAGGUGAUCAGGAGUUCCUAGGCAGUAGGCAAUCUCUGUCCCUGGUGCACACACCCUUCAAAUUGGGUAUUUAUUUUGUUACAGAGCAAUGUAACUGUCAGAUUUCAGUAUAAUACUACAAGUGUGGAUGUCCUUAAACCAAUUUUUGCUAAGGUCAUGAAGGCUUUGAACAUAAGGGCAAAGCCUUGAAUUUAAUCUGGGAUUGAGUGGUCAGCAGAGCAAAGAACAAAGCUCAAGCUUGUUUGGUGGUCUUGUACUGCUGAAUAAAUGGACUGAAGCAUUCUUGUAUGGGGUAUCAUUUCUAAAUUCACUAGGUUGUAGAAAUUAAGCAUAAGGGCCAAGUUCAAUCUAGCAAGUAAUCUGAUCAGAAAUAGUGCUGAAGGAUUGAGGCUUUUGCAGCAACAGUUAUUGGGGUUUCUAGGAUGAAUGAGUUCAGGUGAACAUUAAAUCUUCAAUUAGUCUUAAUGCCGGUGAUUGGGAAUGGAUGACAUUAUGGAAAUGUAAAAUACUUUCCUAUACCAUCAUCAGCCCAGGCUCUUGCGACGAUUCAGCUUCGGCCAACUGCUCUUCAUUCAUUUGCUGAUCUCAGCCAAGCCCUUGAAGAGCUGGGUAAUGGUGUUAUUUGCAUGGGAGGUGAAGAUGAUGUAGAGAUGGGUGUUAUAUAUGUACUGCUGACAAGUCAGUCCGUGGUGCCACCGAAUCUUCUCUAGAGGCUUUAUAUAGAUGUUGAACACGCUGGGUGAGGGGAAAGAAUCUUGUGUUAUUCAGCAGGUGGAAAAGGUUUUGGAGGUUAAGGAAAGAGCAAGUGUUUAUCAUAAAUCUCUUUGAGUGUACAAGACAUUUAUGCAAGGGAUGUCUGAAGAUGUACCAGCUCAGUUCCAUAAGGCUGCAGACAGACAUUUAUUUUCAAACAGCUGAGCUGGCUGGAGAUCUUACAGCCAUUCCAGAUGCUUGUUACGAAUCCUCUACUGAUGCCGCCUGUACUCCUUGCUCUGCUAUUAGAAAAGGUGGUCCGAGGUCUUCUUAAUCUGUCAGGUGAAGCCUCUCAGAUAGUUUUAAGUGCUGACGAAGGUAGUGUUAACCCAGUUGACAUUGCUUUACCUUUAAGAGAGAGCUGUUUACUAGCACAACCUUACCCUGGGUUUUAGAAAGGAUGGAGAGGAGAGAAGGCGGCUGCAGCCUUUCUCACAGAACAUGUCCACAGCCCCAGACAGUUCCAGCAUUGCCUCCUACAGGUCUGAAGAUAGGUAAGGCAUGUGUGUGGGACUGGAUACAUCUACUGGAAUAGACUAUGCUACUCCUGUUUUGUGUGAAUAUGUGCUUGGAUAUUUUGUGCCAAGCACGUGUGUAAAAUACGUGUGAAGUACUUGUUUGUUACGUGAGCAACUAAAAUGGAGUAUUUGGAGCUGUGUCGGCCUCCUGUGUAAGCAAGAGCUCUAGGAUGGGUACACAGUGUGGUAGAAACCCAGGUAACUAAGAGAUCAUUAUUAUCCAAAUUUACUAACAGAGCAUUUACAAGAAAUUGGUAUUAAUUACUAUGUUAGUACCACUGUGGUUAAAGCUGAACCAGCAAGUUAUAAAAAAAUCUUUAAGAAUAUCCAGUUGGGGCAAAGAAGAAGGCUCCUGUGCUCAAGGGAUCAUUCAGAAAUGGCAGGAAGCGGGAAGAAAAUGUGCAGGUGGUUUUUAAGAGAUCCUGGAGUUCCUACAGGGUUUCCAGAUCCAAAAAUACAGAAUUGUUGAAGAAUCCUUGAUGCGUGCACAGGCAAAAUGGAGCAAGCUGUAACACUGUGUGUGGCCUAGUGGUAAACAUGUCUGUGUGUUGGUAGUGCUUCAACACAGAGAGCUGAUAGUACCCACUACUAUGAUUUUCAGGUAGCGAAACGUGCUUUCCAUUAUUGAAUGGUCCCCUCUGAGGACUCGGGAGUCUUCCCAGCAUCCCAGAAACAACCUGCAGCCUUUCUGAAACAUGGAAAUGAGCACACAGUUUUAAAAUUCUCCCUUCAUCAAGAAAAACCCCUGCCCUUUCCUGUAAAGCUGCUGAUUUACUGUUUAUUAUCAUAACAUGACACAAACAUGUUAAAAUGGGCCACCCUAAUGUCUGAGUCUGGCUCUAAACAAGAUUCCUAACUUACUGGUCAUCCUGUUUCUGAACUGGGCCAGAAUGGAGCAUCCUACCUUAACAACAGCCUGAAACUCUAGUGGAAUUUAGACUUGGAUCCAAACUCAAGGCACAGGCUCUUCUCUAAAUAAAAAUAACUAGAUCACAAGCUAUUUUGGGGUGGUGACUUUUACACAAGAAACGUAGGGCUUACAUAGGUUUUUACUCCUGUCAAAUACAUCUGGAUGCUGUCCUCCUUCCAGCCGAUAUUCUGGAAGUACUUUCAUCAGGUCACAGCCAAAUAACUCCAACUGGAAGGUGGAAACUGAAGAACAACUGACAUUAUUCAUGGUAAACACUGGUGGUUUUUUGAUUUUUUUUUUUUUCUUUUCUUCCAUGCAGAAAAUUCUGCUACUCUGGUUGCUGCUGAUGCUGAUACAAUUUCUGUGACGAAUAGCAUAUGCAAUGCUGGGUCAAGAUAAGAGCCAACAGCAUGUUGGAAAGCCUUCUCUAAAUAUGAAUCCCAAUGGUUCUGGCUUUCUUGACAGGGAGGUGUUUAAUGAAAUUGCCAUGCCUGGUACCAUUUACAUAGCUGCCAAAGCUGCUGAUCGCUAUCACCUCCUCCCUUCCCCUAGCAUCUGCUAGCAAAUCUUCUGUUUUUUCCUGCUUACUUGGCUAUACCUAGUAUAACGAUAUGAAUAGUUUCCAUUCAUGAAGAAUGUGGUGGGAUAUAGCUAGUUAUAACGGAUAGGAAGCAAAGGAGGAAGCAGUGUGCUGGCACCUUAUUGUCAAUGGCACCAAGUAGCAAGCACUAAAGCAUGUUUUAUAUCAGUGGGAGCUGGCUGUGUGUGGUACGCUACUGGGAGCGUUCCCACAGUGCCUAGUGGAUGGACGGCAGGGUUUCAUUGCUGUAUUUUAAGGUAAAAGCACUUAUCACCUCGGGAGCUCCAAGCACUCUAUGAACUUCAGUUAAUUUAAAGCUCUGGACUGUAUAAAUAUUAUCCUGUUGUAUCGAGGAGCAAACUGGUUUGCUUAAGAUGUCACAGGAAGUUUUCAGCUUUGCCAAGGGUAUAAACUAGGUCUUCUGAGUCACAGGUCUGGGCUAUAAUCGAAGGAGUCUUCUUCCUCUUAACAUAGCUGGCCUACCUUCUCUUUGAUGUUAUCCCAUCUUCCCCUAAUCACUGGGUGACAUCUGAUCUCUGUAACUUUUGUACGGCAUCCAAGAUCUAUUGUAUUUGGUCCAAGAUCUCACCUUUCAUUUCUGGCUCUUCUAAUUCCGUUUCAGUCCCUGGCGAUUCCAGGAGGCUCAUCCUAAGCCCAGCUGCCAAGGCCUUGGAAAGCAGGGUGCGCGUUGGUGGUGUAUCUUGCCAUGGCAUGGAGAUUUCCCAGGACCAGCCACAGGAAUGGUUGCAGUGUCCUCCACUAAAGUCUAGCGUGGCAAAUGGCUAUUGCCACCCCCACACUUCCUGCAAUUUCUGCUUAAACACAGUGUUCUUUACUUGCUGCCUGCGGUUGGUAUGUAAAGCUGCUUUCUGUAGGUUUAAAGCUGCUGCCCCCUCCAAAGUGGCUUUAUUUUAGUGUUCAGUUCAGUGGUUUCAACAGAGUACCUACUAGCUGGUAUCUAAGGUUUUAUUUAGGGUCAAGUUAACAUACAGCAUUGCUUUUGUCAAUAUUAUUAUUUUUCUUUUGUCUCUAAUCUCACUAAUUGUUUUAGGUUUCUUUUAUCUCUUUUUUCACCUCUCCUUUCAGGAUUUGCAAUUGUUCUUUUCAGCUAUGGAUGUCAUGGACCAAAUCCUGCCCUAAUUUACACCUGUAAGACCAAUGGAGCUGCAUGCAUGCACACGAGGAGAGAGUUAAUAAGAUGCUGAAGUUGUUUCCCUGUUUUGAAAAGUCAUGUGGUCUAGAGGAUUGAUGCUGAGAAGUAUCAUUUAGGAUUAUAUAAUUCCUAAAUCUGUAAAUCCUGAUGUACAGAUAGCUUGUCCCAUGGCUGUAUAAUUUUAUUGGUGAUAAAAUAUAUACACUUUAAAAAUUUUAGAUGCUGUACUGGUAGAACCCCUUACUGGAGUUAUAACACUUUUAUAACAGCUUUUUACACAAUACAGCGCUUUUCCCAUCGUACCUAGUACUAAAGGCUUAUCUACACCAGGAGAUUUCACAGGUUGAGAAUUGUAUUAACAUAAUGUUUAACAUUUGUACAAAGGGUGAAAAUUGAGAUUUAGUUUUGGUUUCGGAGAGGAUUUUUACUUUUCAGAAUUUGAUUUGGCAAAUUUUAAAACCUUCUGUUUUUUCACUCCCAACUUUUUUUUUGUUUUGUUUUGGAUCAAUUGGAAGUUUUGAUUUUGAGUUUUGUAGCUUACCUAAUGCAAUAGAAACAGACACAAAAUUAAAAUGAAAGUAGUUUUGAAAUUAAAAAAAAAAAAAACCAGCUAUGUUGCAUUUCAAACAUGCUGAAAAAUGUUCCAACACCACUGGAACUCUUUGUUUUCCUGAUUUUCUUCUUAAGGGAAAUCCUGGUGAAAUCAGCUGGAUUUUGUGAUGUGUUUUGAUUCCAGCAGAACAGCAUUCCAGCAGAGAUUUUUUCCUGGUGGAUGAAGAAAAGCAGGACCAGCAGAGCUCCUCAUGCAGAGGAUGUUAUUCCAGAAGAAGAGCACUCCCUCACCCGCGGAGAGGAGCGAUCCAAUACGCCUUCUGUCUGGGGGCAGGGGGGGGAAGGAGGGAGGAGAGGGGGGGAUAAGGAUGCUUCCUUCCCAGCACUCAGGGCUGCCGGCCAAGAAUGUAAGUCUAAAUUCAAGCCCGGCGAGUGCUGUGCCAGAUCCAGAGAGUUUGGAGUCCCUUUGUCCAGAAGCUUUCAAUACUUGAGGGAGUUGCCAAAUGGGAUGUGUGGCAUCCAUGUAAUAUAUCUGAUGCAUGAAAACUGGUUCCUACUGAGCUUACCGUGGUGCCUGAGGCAAAAGUACUUCUGAUUCCCCACAUGAUGCAGCGAUCACCAGACUACUGCUGUUCUCCUUAAACCCGGCCACAAUGGCAGUUCAGGACAACCUCCCGCCUCAGGUCAGGCUGAGGCAGGUGGCACGCACAGGGAGAGGAAAGGUAGUGCUGCCUUUGACCCUGCUUUCUCUCUCUGGGAAGGGAGGACCUGAUGCUGUUUGCAUUUCUCCCUAGGCUGAACCAGUAAGUCUGAUGACAGAAAUGAACCUUUCCCCCUGGACGCGGGCCAAAAGACUUUUUUUUUCCUUUCCCUUCCCCUCCUGAUUCUUUCAUAACCAUCAUUUUCACGUAUCUCUGGAACAUAUCACGUACUACUGUCAUGUGCUGUAGGUGUGCUCCCCUUUUUUUUUUCAGCUACGGCCUGCUUCCCAUCUGCCAGAUAAAAGUCUCUCCUUGUCUGGCUGAUGCUUGCCACAGGUGACAGGGUGGACUGAAGCCAUUGCUUCUGCCCCAAGGGAGAGCCUCCACAUCUAGGAGAGAGGGAAAUCUGCUCUGGAAACACCAUCUAGCAGCCUCUGUGUCAACAGAGACGUAGCAAUUCCUGUGGGAUGAGAGUGCCUGUGUUCCUCUGCCUCGUUGGAAAGUUCAGCCAGUUGUGCUUGUGCAAACCCCUGGAGGAGUCUGAGGUUGAGCAGGUGUCAGUGAGGACAUAGCCUGAGUUGCAGAACUCCUACGACAGGCUGUGCCGGACAGAGAGGAAACUUGUCUUGGAGCGUUAUGCUGCUAAUACGCCGUAGUCAUCAGACUGACGGAUAUCAGCAUGUGGCGUGGCGUGCUGCAGAUUCAACUCCGAAGCUGAAACAUAAAAUAUUCCUCUCGAUGCUGAAAUCCACAGGCCAAAGCAAACAGUACUUCAGAAAAAUGUUGCAAGACAACCCAGUUUCGAGCCAAGUGCUGCUGAUAACUUCUCAGCACCUUUGCUGAAGUGGUGGAGGCUGGGACCACUGAGUCUCCAUAGAAAUCACAGCGGGUUCUGUGUUCAGCUCCUCACGGAGAGGGUGGGCCCCCAGACCUUUUAGCAUGUGGACUCCUGGAGACUGGCACGAUCUGGAGAUCUCAGAGGAGCCACCCAGGGUGCAGGGGCAUGGCUUGAGGUCGAGUGCCCCUGCAGUCCUCCGUGCCUGCUGGCGGGCCAGCCCCAUCGCUGGCCAUUGGCCUGAAGAAGAUGGAAGAAGAUCAAAGUUGUCUUCACAGCAACACACAGGCCCUGAUCCCCUUGCCAGCGUACCCCUACAAGAGCGUACCCCUGAGCCGCCCCGCGCGGGGGCACCUGCCUCCCCCCGGCCGUGCUGACCCGCCUGAAGCAGCCGGGACGCAGGCAGCCCUUCAGAGCAUGUGCAGGUCCUGCCGCCGUGCCUGGGAAUCGAAGGGGCAGGGAGAAGUCCCAGGGGUGCCCAGGUGCCCCACGGUCGCCUCUGCCACUUGGAAUGUGAGACACCUCCGGUCUCACUCACCAGGUCCAACCCAGGGAGGAUGAGCAUGUUUGAGCUGUGUUUGCGCUGUCUGCCCGGGAAAAGAGGACUCGUCUCAGCCACAAAGGUCUUGGUGGGGUUUGUGCUGAAGUGGGUUUCCACCAUCUGGGAUCUACCCAAGAGCUACAUCAUAUUCUCUUAGAGAUAGGAAAACUUCAUAAAGAGAAGACUUUGAAUUAGGAGUCUGCUGUGCAUUGCAACAUUUAUCAUCAUGACUCACAUACCUCCAGUAUUACUGCAAAUCCAGGCAGAGUGUGAAAUGAUUCUCUCUCUUAUCUUUGAGGAAAUGCAACAUGCUCCAACCCUGCUGACUCUGAAAGCCAGCUCUGCCCUGUUUUGGUCCAUGUAAAUUGUCAGGAUUAUUGGAAAAGCUCAACAAAUCUCAACAGCAUAAUCUACCCAAUUAAUUUUGAAGUACUUUGGGAAGCAUUCGGUAUUUUUUCUUUUCAUCUUAUGCAGCUCCAUAGAAACCCUUGGAGUUCUGCAGGUACAUACUGAGUUAUGAAGGAGCUGGAGGCACUUAGAGAGCUGGAACAUGAUUAAUAACUGCCAAAUUACAGGGAACACUUAAAAAUCCCUUAAAUCCCUUAAAUCUUUCCCCUCCCCGACUUUCUCCUAGGAACUAGGACAUGAGCCUUUAGCUAGGCUGUCUUUCCCUGAUGCAGUCCCUUCAUUGUGAUGGGAGAGGAUCUGAAGGCACAGGCAAGGCAUUCAGAAACUUUAGGACGAAGUCCUCAUAUGGAAAAAAAGAGAGAAUGGGUGAGCUGCAGCACAGAGGAUCACACGAGGGAGUAGCUGGUAUGUGCAUGCCAGUGCCAGAGUCCUCAGACUCUUUCAUCAUGGGAACCACAGCUUGACUGCCAGAUAAACCACCUCCUUUUGUAUUCACAAUUGCAAAAUAUCUCUGCAGCAGCUCUAGCAAUUGCUCAGAGAGAAAAGAAAUUGAAGAACUUUUCUUGCAUCCUUAGCAUAACAGGUGUUUUUACAAAAAAAAAAAAAAAAAAAGGCAUUUUCAUUUGGCCCUUUGCUGUAUCUCCACUCUGUGUCUGAAGUGUUUUCUUUGUCAAGGAGAAAAGCAGAGGCAGUCAACUCUUUGCAGACCCCUGACAGUGUUUUUGGGUUUAUCAAUUUUAAGGUUGUUUUCCUGUAUACAUUUCAGUAUUGGUUUUUGUUUUAGAUUGCAUGGAGUAACAGUAUUGAUUUUGCUGCCAUGCUGUCUUCUGCAGAAAAAUUUAAGAAUAUUUCUCAUUCCUGUUUGAUCUCAGAGUAAAUUACAGGAGAAACCCGGAAUCAGUUAACUGAAUGUUAAGCAAAAUGAAUGAGGCUUGUAUAGUGCCCUGAAGGUCAUUAGACUCAAGGUCUGAGUGGCUGCCAAGGGGAGUGAGCUCCAGGGUGGGAGCAUUCAUCUGAGAAAACCCCAUUGCUGGAUGUGGAGGGGUCAAACCUGGGAGCUGGCUGCAGGCUCCUCCCAGCUGAGCUCAGCUGCCAUGGCUGGACGUGGCGUAGGACCUUGUCCCUUCUCCUACUCCUGGUCCAGAGAGCUCUGCAAGUGGAUGAGAGGGCACGUCCCACCCCAUGGGAGGGCAUUAGGGACUUGCCUAUCGCUCCAGCCAGCUCGCUGCUUCCUUUACUAGCUGUGGAGCCAGCAAGUAGCUCUAAAAUCGUGAAGACAGAUGGUUGCUGGGAGUUAGGGCUGAUGAAAAGGCCCAUGGAUCGCUGCUAAAGUGAAAGUCUGGCAGUGGCACAGCGUCAAGGGGUGCAGCAGGCAACGCAGAGCCACCGGUGGUCGGCUAUGUGUCCUUUGAGCUGCUCUCCAUCCCACCCACAACUUUCUCUCCCCAUCAGAGUCACUCUGCUGAGGGGCUGCUGGUUUAUCUUCCGCUUCAGUCCUGUCUCUUUCCAACUUGGAUGUGGAGGUGAAACCACAGGAUGUGGAUGCAAGAUGGAAACAGAGAGGCAGACCGUUGUGAUGUCCAUUCAACUUCAAAGUGUCUUCCAGUGCCUCUUUCUACAUUAUAGAAGAAUUUUAACUAAAUAAAAUCAUUAAGUGAAAACU